rnacentral:rRNA from 1 species
UACGGAGGUGGCAAGCGUUGUUCGGAAUUACUGGGCGUAAAGGGCGCGUAGGCGGCAUGGCAAGUCAGGUGUGAAAGCCCCGGGCUUAACCUCGGGAACUGCAUCGUGAAACUGCUUUGCUUGAGUCCUGGAGGGGGUAGUGGAAUUCCCAGUGUAGCGGUGAAAUGCGUAGAUAUUGGGAGGAACACCGGUGGCGAAGGCGGCUACCUGGACAGUGACUGACGCUGAGGCGCGAAAGCUAGGGGAGCGAACGGG